ACCUAACCUCUCUAUCUUAGAAACAUUAAGGGAUAAAUCUAUAUGGCGGCAAGUGAUGAUCUCUGAAACUAGGAUUAUCCAAUACAGCGGCAAGUCCAGUUUCAGUCCAUACAGAAUCUGGUUCUUCAUUUGUUGGCCUUGUCCUUGUUGAACUCAAAUCACUUGUUGUAGCUCUCUGGUUUUGUUGACUUCAAGCUCGUUGGCUACUCAGCCUUCAGUGAUGCUUUCUGUUGAGUUUGGCACAUUGGUUAUCUAGUAAUCUUCUAAGCAGCUUUGUGUUGAGUUUGGCAUAUAACCAAUGAUGGUUGUUCAGAUGCAAUCGGUGUGCUUCUUCCGGAUAUUUGAAAGAUGUUUCCAACGACGACUCAAGUAUACCACUAUGAUGGCACAUCCCUUAUUUUUCCAUACAUUUCUUUCAGUUGGAUUUGCAAGCAGGUUUCCAUAUCUUCCCUCGUGCCUGCCACCACGUACGCUAUCCCUAUGUGGCUGCCAAUUCAUAGUGCAUGCAAUUAAAAUCUAUACUAGUCAAUUUAGUUGUCUGGUUUCAAUCCAAAAAUUUUGGUUGACUUUGUUGAGUUUCUUUUCUUGAUGAUAUUGUUUUCAUUUUGGUUUGCAGUUCCUUGUGCUUCUUAAUGUCAGUUGCCGAGCGAUUGUUGGCCAUACUUGGAUUUUGAGUUUCGAGCUCUGCGGUCACCUGUUUUUGGGGAUUUAUACGACACUAUGACGUUCAAGUUUGUGGUAGUUUUCGUGUUUCAUUACCUAUAUGCCAGUUUUUUUCCCUCUAUAUUUCAUCUUCUACGUGUUUUGGUCCUUGUAAUUUUUUUUUGGGUCCUUGUUCUUUCAUUAAUCUUCAUCUCUUCCAUCUUUCAUCACAUUUCAACCUUUUUGUAAUUUGUUUUCUAGAAGUCAGUGUGGUGCUGACAAGGGGAUGUAUUUUGCAAUCACGGUGGACCACCAAAUUAAGUCACGAUAAGCAUGAUCUGAUUCUGAUUACAACAACAUUCUCUGGCGAUCAAUCAUUUUUAUUGAAGAAUCCAUUGCUUAAGGUUUAUGUUUGUUGGAAUGCCGUGAUCUCUGUCUCUGUAUUAGUAACUCUUGAGAUUUACUUUCAGAGAUAGACAUACCCUUGUCAAGUGCCGCGGGAAUGCCAACUUGGGCCGGACUGUUAUUUGGUCUUGUUUUAGACGGUUUAGUGUUGGUUUUUAUUUUUAUUUUUCUUUUGUCCAACAGAAAUUUACAAUAUUAAAAGCUAGCAAGGUCGUCGUUUGAGUUUGCUAUUUUUUCCUCAAGCUGUCACUCGUUAUUUGGUUCCCUUUUUGUCCUCUUCUUCUCUUGAACUCUUUAUUUCUUUUAAGUUUUGUUUCUGCUUUCCAAGUUAUGUUUCAUUUUGUGCUGGCUAUUAGGUAUUUGGUUUAUGGGCAGUUACAAGCUUAAUGUACUGAUUUUGUUAAUUGUAGUUGGUGUACAACAGCUCUUUACAUGAGAUUAAUCGGAGGGCAUCCUUUGGCACCCCUUUCCCCUAUUUCUCUUGCAUUUUAAUGCGUUCUCUUUUCCUUUAUUGAUUGCGUGAUUCCCUGCAGCAAUCUAAAUUUCAUUCAAGGAGGAAUCAAAUGUUGUCGGGCAGCCAAGGGUCUCUCUCCUCCUCUCCUUUUGCCGUUCCGUUUUUCUUUCCUCAUCCUUAUUCUGUGGGUAUGCGGUAUAUGUGUUCUAUCACAAAGCACAUCAUGAAGGCUGAAUUAGAGGGUAAAUUAUGCUAAGAAGUUGUUGAAGAGUCGUGCCCAUCUAGCAAAUAUCCCUAAUCACUUAUUUUUUCUGCUUGCUCCCAUCGGUGGCAUCAUAAUGUUGUCUUCCACUAUAGCAAAUCCCUAUAGGCAGUUCAGUUUUCUUUGACUUCUUGUGGUGCAGAUGCGUUCAUUAUAUUAUAUGUGCUGCUAAAAAGUGUGGAGUAAGCUGAACUUUUAACUGUAUUCCCUUAAAUCUCUGGAGUAAGGUGGUCUGGUGAUUUUUUUUAGGAGCAAGAUCAUCACUAACCGUGGUAUUAUUUACAUUAUAAUGUCUGCAUUUAUGUGGGUGUCAGUUAUUGUGGUGGUUCAUUCUGAGCUGCAACAUUGUUCCUGGUCGAUUCAUGUAAGCCUGGUUGAUCUGUGACAAGUGACGCACUUCUAUGUAGACUUCGAGACAUUGGUGACUGAAUGACAGUACUCUUUGGUUACUGAUUACCCUUUUUCAUAUUCUCUAUGUUCCGGGUAGUGCUACAAUUAUUGUUAAGUCUAUCCAUGCAUAGGUGAGGAUAAGUUGUUGAUCUGGAAUGUUGCAUUGGUUGUUUAAGAUGGGAUCCUGGACUGGUGAGAUUUCCAUAAAGUUUUCCUGUUGUGUUCCUUCUAUGUAGGUUUCUAUUGACGUUGACAAAUUGGUUGGCGCUGAUGGUUGCUUAGAUGUAGUUGGCAUCGAAGGGAUUGUUAGGCUGUGGGCUGGAAAUCGUGAUUCUUUUGGGGUAGGUUGCCGUGUACGUAUCUUUUAUGGUUGGUGUUCCUCUUUCGGUACAUUACCAGGUGCAAUAAAGCUAAGUUAGGGAAGGAAACUAUAUCCUAAUCUUGCCAUAUGAAAGAAAUAGACUGAGGGGAAGGUAUCAAUUUUUGCCAUUUUUGUUUGAUGGGGACACUGCUAACAGGAAGAUUUCUAUUGUAGUAUCUGUCAGCAACCUCUAUCGACUUUGUUAUAGUUCUCUUUGCAGCAACACUUCUUAUUUACCAGUGUACACUUUCAAGCAAAGUAUUUCAAGUAUCAGUGGCAGAAUUGGGAGUGUGACAGGGCCUAUGUGGUGUAUGUUCUAAUUUUGCGAAGGCCAAGUUCUACUUUUGUCUGACUUGUAGACUUGAUGCUAAGGUAUUCUUGCAUGUCUUCCUCUUGGUUGGGCUUUUUCUUAUAUAUUCUUGUAUCCUUGAUGGCCGAAAGUGGAAAAAUGCUACUAUAGCUUGUGAAGAAUCCAAUCUAUCCCAUGAUGAUUAGUAGCUGCUGCUGUGUAUGGACACCUGGGGACACAUAUAUGUAGAUGCAAUAUACGAGGUUUGGUCAUCUGUCUCCAAUGUUUAUUCUUUGCUAGGGGUCUGGGACCUUUUCCUUUGUUUUGGGCUCUUGUAUGCGAAGUAGGGUUCUGUUUCAUACUAUGUUCAUACAUUUUACUUCUCUAUCAAUAGGCAGAUAGGUCUCUUGUUUCAGUGCCUAGGAAGACCUAUAGGCCUGUAAUCAAGCUCUAACAGUUGUCGCUGCGGGAAAACUUGGUAGUUCUAUCGUGCAUCUUCUUUAUUUAUUCUCCAUUAUUAUUGGUAAUUUUUUAUCUCAUUCUAAAAA